UAGGCGCUACUGUGCAACGCGCAUCAAAACACUGCGCCUCUACAGCUGUUCGUUGGCUCGUGGCCACAUGAGCCUGAGCAUGUUGCCCAGGACCUCCUCCAGCCUCUCAGGAGGGACUUCAUCUGACAGCACCAACAUCUGGAGGGAACAUGCAGGCCAGUCAGCUUAUGUGUUUGUCAGACUUGACACAUAAUAAUCUUCCAUUUUGAUGGUUAAGGAACACUUUGACAAACUGGCAUCUUCUCUAAGGUGUACCCUGAAUUACGCUGCAUCCUGUGCCUUUCCAGACCACUGCGACCCUGAUUUGGACAAGGGGUCAAUGAAAUUGGGUGAAUGCGUGAGUGAGUGAGCAGUCAGGCAACACACUAUCAUUAACAUUUUAAUAUGUUUACUGUUCCUUCAAAAGUGAAAAUAUAACCAGGAAGAAGUAAAAGCGCUCAUUUAAAUGUUUAGGUGUGGCAACUAAGACUUUGGCUCCGUCUCAAACCACAUUACUUCCACACUUUUAGGUAUACAUCUGUGGAAACUCCAUGCUUGAGUCCAAAUCAAACCUAAAUGGAAGUAUGAAGCACAGCUAAACAACCCAAAACUGUACUUGGGUUCUGUAGAACAGAAACCCAGCUGUUGAAGGUGAAUUGCAAGAAAACGAGAUCACGAGACUGCCUUCAUUCAACUUGCUUACACAGUGUUUGCAGUUUGUCUCUGCUGUUCCUGAGUGUUGGUGAUCAGAAACAAGAUAUUGUGCAUUACACCUGUCCACACAAUGAAUCAGUCAACAAUCGGCAUCGAACAAACUUUGUGGAGACAACAUAUUUUUAAAUCAUAUUCUGUUUCUUUUAA